rnacentral:rRNA from 1 species
AACGAACGCUGGCGGCAUGCCUAACACAUGCAAGUCGAACGAUGCCUUCGGGCAUAGUGGCGCACGGGUGCGUAACGCGUGGGAAUCUGCCCUUCGGUUCGGAAUAACUCAGGGAAACUUGAGCUAAUACCGGAUGAUGACGUAAGUCCAAAGAUUUAUCGCCGAAGGAUGAGCCCGCGUAGGAUUAGGUAGUUGGUGGGGUAAUGGCCCACCAAGCCGACGAUCCUUAGCUGGUCUGGGAGGAUGAUCAGCCACACUGGGACUGAGACACGGCCCUGACUCCUACGGGAGGCAGCAGUGGGGAAUAUUGGACAAUGGGCGAAAGCCUGAUCCAGCAAUGCCGCGUGAGUGAUGAAGGCCUUAGGGUUGUAAAGCUCUUUUACCAGGGAUGAUAAUGACAGUACCUGGAGAAUAAGCUCCGGCUAACUCCGUGCCAGCCGCCGCCGUAAUAC